ACCUCAGGACAUCAGGAGAAUAUAAGAAAGAACAUUAAAAUAUGUGUCCCCUGACUGUUGGACAUUUAAAAGUCUUUCAGUGUGUAUAUAUGGAUUCAUGUUUGCCUCUCAGAAAAUCUGGAGGUAACAAAUGUACUAUAUUUCUUUAAGCACUUGACACUAGGAGAUCCAAUUCAGUAGAAUCAAAGUGUAUGUUUUCCUUCUCUUUCAUCUAACUCAAGCUUUCUCAAUGCUGAUACCUUGAAGAUCAUAGGCUGGGCCCACCAUCCCCUCCCCUCUGACUGACUCAAGGAGUCUCCUGAGCUACCCACCAUCUGCUGCCAGCAAUUCUUGGACUCACUCCUUUGGGACACCUGUUCUUACUUGAUCAAAAAACAGAGGAGGCACAAACAGAGGAGCAUGAAGACAGAGGAGCACCAAAAAACAGAGGGGCACAAAAACC